rnacentral:rRNA from 1 species
UACGGAGGGUGCAAGCGUUAUCCGGAUUCACUGGGUUUAAAGGGUGCGUAGGAGGGCAGGUAAGUCAGUGGUGAAAUCUCCAAGCUUAACUUGGAAACUGCCGUUGAUACUAUCUGUCUUGAAUAUUGUGGAGGUGAGCGGAAUAUGUCAUGUAGCGGUGAAAUGCUUAGAUAUGACAUAGAACACCAAUUGCGAAGGCAGCUCACUACUCAAUAUUGACUCUGAGGCACGAAAGCGUGGGGAUCAAACAGG